rnacentral:rRNA from 1 species
AGUGAACGCUGGCGGUAGGCCUAACACAUGCAAGUCGAACGGCAGCACAGUAAGAGCUUGCUCUUACGGGUGGCGAGUGGCGGACGGGUGAGGAAUACAUCGGACUCUACUUUUUCGUGGGGGAUAACGUAGGGAAACUUACGCUAAUACCGCAUACGACCUACGGGUGAAAGCAGGGGAUCUUCGGACCUUGCGCGAUUGAAUGAGCCGAUGUCGGAUUAGCUAGUUGGCGGGGUAAAGGCCCACCAAGGCGACGAUCCGUAGCUGGUCUGAGAGGAUGAUCAGCCACACUGGAGCGUGGACACGGUCCAUACGCCUACGAGAGGCAGCAGUGGGGAAUAUUGGACAAUGGGCGCAAGCCUGAUCCAGCCAUACCGCGUGGGUGAAGAAGGCCUUCGGGUUGUAAAGCCCUUUUGUUGGGAAAGAAAAGCAGCAGGUUAAUACGCCGCUGUUCUGACGGUACCCAAAGAAUAAGCACCGGCUAACUUCGUG